UACGUAGGUGGCAAGCGUUGUCCGGAUUUAUUGGGCUUAAAGGGUGCGUAGGCGGCCCUGUAAGUCAGUGGUGAAAUACUCUAGCUUAACUAGAGGGGUGCCAUUGAUACUGCAGGGCUUGAGUACAGACGAGGUAGGCGGAAUUGACGGUGUAGCGGUGAAAUGCAUAGAUAUCGUCAAGAACUCCGAUAGUGAAGACAGCUUACUAGGCUGUAACUGACGCUGAGGCACGAAAGUGUGGGGAUCAAACAGG
rnacentral:rRNA from 1 species